rnacentral:rRNA from 1 species
ACCAUUCAAAUUUAAUCUAAUGGAACUUUUGUGUCAAGAGGAAUCCGACAGUUUAAUAAAAACUUAGCUAACUGUAGGCCAUAAGUAGUGUAAAUAGUUAGUGAAUUCUGCCCAAUGCUUUAAUUAGUGAAUGUAGAAGUAAUUCUAAGAAGCCUGGGUCAAUGGCAGGAGUAACUAUGACUCUUUUAAGGUAGCCAAAUGCCUAGUCAUUUAAUUUGUGACGUGCAUGAAUGGAUUAACGAGAUUCCUACUGUCCCUAUUUACCAUCUAGCGAACUAACUGCCAAGGGAACGGGCUUGGUUAAGAUUAGCGGGGAAAGAAGACCCUUUUGAGUUUGACUGUAGUUUGUAAUGUGAACUAGCUUAUCGGGUGUAGGAUAGGUGGGAGCAAGCUGAAAGGUUUGCGGAAGUGAAAAUACCACUACCGAUGGAGCUGGUUGACUAAUUUUUUAAUCGGAGAUGUGUUGUUUACUUGUGCUU